rnacentral:rRNA from 1 species
GAUGUUGGGUUAAGUCCCGCAACGAGCGCAAUCCUUAUCCUUAGUUGCCAGCACGUCUGGGUGGGCACUCUAAGGAAACUGCCGGUGCUAAGCCGGAGGAAGGUGGGGAUGACGUCAAGUCCUCAUGGCCCUUACACCCUGGGCUACACACGUGCUACAAUGGCAGUGACAAUGGGCUAAUCCCAAAAAGCUGUCUCAGUUCAGAUUGUCCUCUGCAACUCGAGGGCAUGAAGUUGGAAUCGCUAGUAAUCGUGGAUCAGCAUGCCACGGUGAAUACGUUCCCGGGCCUUGUACACACCGCCCGUCA